rnacentral:rRNA from 1 species
AGAGUUUGAUCAUGGCUCAGAACGAACGCUGGCGGCAUGCCUAACACAUGCAAGUCGAACGAGCUCUUCGGAGCUAGUGGCGCACGGGUGCGUAACGCGUGGGAAUCUGCCCUCUGGUACGGAAUAACUCAGGGAAACUUGAGCUAAUACCGUAUAAUGACUUCGGUCCAAAGAUUUAUCGCCUGAGGAUGAGCCCGCGUCGGAUUAGCUAGUUGGUGAGGUAAAAGCUCACCAAGGCGACGAUCCGUAGCUGGUCUGAGAGGAUGAUCAGCCACACUGGGACUGAGACACGGCCCAGACUCCUACGGGAGGCAGCAGUGGGGAAUAUUGGACAAUGGGCGAAAGCCUGAUCCAGCAAUGCCGCGUGAGUGAUGAAGGCCUUAGGGUUGUAAAGCUCUUUUACCCGGGAUGAUAAUGACAGUACCGGGAGAAUAAGCCCCGGCUAACUCCGUGCCAGCCGCCGCGGUAAUAC